UAAUGCUUAAUUCAAUGAUCAAGAGAAACAACUUAGAACCAGCUCUCUUCUCUGCUUUUAGAAAAAAAUUGAAACCCUUUUCCGUUGUAGUCCUCUCUCUCGAGUGUACCAAGGCGACAUCUCCAUCGUCGCUUCUGCUCUUCAGGGAUGAAGAGGUGGGAAACACAGACCACAUUCUCUUUCCAAGUUUCUCAUCAUCUCUUCCAUGCUUCAAUUCCCUCUUCUGUAAUAUGAAACCCUCACUCAUUGCGACUUGCGAGAGGACUGCGGUAUUAUCAAUUGUAAGAGGCUUUUCGAGCAGCACGAAACUGCGGGAGAAAAACAAGUGCCAAACAUGUAAACAAGGCCUGUUUGCAUCUGAGGAGACUUUUGAAGAGAAAAAAGCCAGAAGCAACCGUAAUGCAAGAGCAGUUUGACCACCUGCCAGUUUGAAGACAAAGAACUAGUAACUUUGGUACCAACUACUGAGAGACCAGAGAGUCGAACCGCCGACCUAGCCAGAACAGUUCGGCAUCUGGUUCGUUUUUUUUUAAAUGUGAAACAUUUAAAGAAAAAAGUGGAGUCGAAUAAAAAAUCUUGCCUGCUUCUGCAGAGUUCCACAACGACA